GUGUACAUGUAGGUAGGGGUAAAGUGACUAUACAUAGAUAAUAAACAGAGAGUAGCAGCAGUGUACAUGUAGGUAGGGGUAAAGUGACUAUACAUAGAUAACAAACAGAGAGUAGCAGCAGUGUACAUGUAGGUAGGGGUAAAGUGACUAUACAUAGAUAAUAAACAGAGAGUAGCAGCAGUGUACAUGUAGGUAGGGGUAAAGUGACUAUACAUAGAUAAUAAACAGAGAGUAGCAGCAGUGUACAUGUAGGUAGGGGUAAAGUGACUAUACAUCGAUAAUAAACAGCAUGUAUCAGCAGUGUACAUGUAGGUAGGGGUAAAGUGACUAUACAUAGAUAACAAACAGCAUGUAUCAGCAGUGUACAUGUAGGUAGGGGUAAAGUGACUAUACAUAGAUAACAAACAGCAUGUAGCAGCAGUGUACAUGUAGGUAGGGGUAAAGUGACUAUACAUAGAUAAUAAACAGAGAGUAGCAGCAGUGUACAUGUAGGUAGGGGUAAAGUGACUAUACAUAGAUAAUAAACAGAGAGUAGCAGCAGUGUACAUGUAGGUAGGGGUAAAGUGACUAUACAUAGAUAAUAAACAGAGAGUAGCAGCAGUGUACAUGUAGGUAGGGGUAAAGUGACUAUACAUAGAUAACAAACAGCAUGUAGCAGCAGUGUACAUGUAGGUAGGGGUAAAGUGACUAUACAUAGAUAACAAACAGCAUGUAGCAGCAGUGUACAUGUAGGUAGGGGUAAAGUGACUAUACAUAGAUAACAAACAGAGAGUAGCAGCAGUGUACAUGUAGGUAGGGGUAAAGUGACUAUACAUAGAUAAUAAACAGCAUGUAGCAGCAGUGUACAUGUAGGUAGGGGUAAAGUGACUAUACAUAGAUAACAAACAGCAUGUAGCAGCAGUGUACAUGUAGGUAGGGGUAAAGUGACUAUACAUAGAUAAUAAACAGCAUGUAGCAGCAGUGUACAUGUAGGUAGGGGUAAAGUGACUAUACAUAGAUAAUAAACAGAGAGUAGCAGCAGUGUACAUGUAGGUAGGGGUAAAGUGACUAUACAUAGAUAAUAAACAGAGAGUAGCAGCAGUGUACAUGUAGGUAGGGGUAAAGUGACUAUACAUAGAUAAUAAACAGAGAGUAGCAGCAGUGUACAUGUAGGUAGGGGUAAAGUGACUAUACAUAGAUAAUAAACAGAGAGUAGCAGCAGUGUACAUGUAGGUAGGGGUAAAGUGACUAUACAUAGAUAAUAAACAGCAUGUAUCAGCAGUGUACAUGUAGGUAGGGGUAAAGUGACUAUACAUAGAUAAUAAACAGCAUGUAUCAGCAGUGUACAUGUAGGUAGGGGUAAAGUGACUAUACAUAGAUAAUAAACAGCAUGUAUCAGCAGUGUACAUGUAGGUAGGGGUAAAGUGACUAUACAUAGAUAAUAAACAGAGAGUAGCAGCAGUGUACAUGUAGGUAGGGGUAAAGUGACUAUACAUAGAUAAUAAACAGAGAGUAGCAGCAGUGUACAUGUAGGUAGGGGUAAAGUGACUAUACAUAGAUAAUAAACAGAGAGUAGCAGCAGUGUACAUGUAGGUAGGGGUAAAGUGACUAUACAUAGAUAAUAAACAGAGAGUAGCAGCAGUGUACAUGUAGGUAGGGGUAAAGUGACUAUACAUAGAUAAUAAACAGAGAGUAGCAGCAGUGUACAUGUAGGUAGGGGUAAAGUGACUAUACAUAGAUAAUAAACAGCAUGUAUCAGCAGUGUACAUGUAGGUAGGGGUAAAGUGACUAUACAUAGAUAAUAAACAGAGAGUAGCAGCAGUGUACAUGUAGGUAGGGGUAAAGUGACUAUACAUAGAUAAUAAACAGAGAGUAGCAGCAGUGUACAUGUAGGUAGGGGUAAAGUGACUAUACAUAGAUAAUAAACAGAGAGUAGCAGCAGUGUACAUGUAGGUAGGGGUAAAGUGACUAUACAUAGAUAAUAAACAGCAUGUAUCAGCAGUGUACAUGUAGGUAGGGGUAAAGUGACUAUACAUAGAUAAUAAACAGAGAGUAGCAGCAGUGUACAUGUAGGUAGGGGUAAAGUGACUAUACAUAGAUAAUAAACAGAGAGUAGCAGCAGUGUACAUGUAGGUAGGGGUAAAGUGACUAUACAUAGAUAAUAAACAGAGAGUAGCAGCAGUGUACAUGUAGGUAGGGGUAAAGUGACUAUACAUAGAUAAUAAACAGAGAGUAGCAGCAGUGUAAAAACAAAUGGGGGGGUGGUGGUGGUGAGUGUAAAUAGUCCAGGUGGCCAUUUGAUUAUUUGUUCAUUAGUCUUAUGGCUUGGGGGGUAGAAGCUGUUAAGGAGCCUUUUGGUCCUAGACUUGGCGCUCCGGUACCGCUUGGGCUUUCCUCUGAUACCGCCUGGUAUAGAGGUCCUGGAUGGCUGGAAGCUUGGCCCCAGUGAGGUACUGGGCCGUGCGCACUACCCUCUAUGGCGCCUUACGGUCAGAUGCCGAGCAGUUGUCAUACCAGGCGGAGAUGCAACUGGUCAGGAUGCUCUCGAUGGUGCAGCUGUAGAACAUUUUGAUGAUCUGGGGAUCCAUGCCAAAUCUUUUCAGUCUCCUGAGGGUGAAAAGGUGUUGUUGUGCCCUCUUCACGACUGUCUUGAUGUGUUUGGACCAUGAUAGUUUGCUGGUGAUGUGGACACCAAGGCAUUUGAAACUCUCAACCCGCUCCACUAACAGCCCCGUCGAUGUUAAUGGGAGCCUGUUCGGCCCUUCUUUUCCUACAGUCCACGAUCAUCUCCUUUGUCUUGCUCACGUUGAUGGUUGUUGUCCAUUUGGGCCUAGCCUAGCUCUCUGAAUAACUCGGAGCUGGGAGGAAAACAACACAGCCCUGUCUGUCUGUCUGGACUCCACAGAGUACACAGAGCCAGCUUUUCUGCUCUCCUUAAUGGCCAGCAACACAGCUGAAAUCUGACUGCACCACUUUGCCAAUCACAGAUGGGACAUUUAGACGUUGACGCAGACUCAAUUUAAUCUAAAACAAGGCAAUUAUACACUAGUAUAGACACAUUCAUAAAGACACGUUUAAAUGACCUUAUUACCAAAGACAUCAUUCCUUUCCCUUAGUAAAUCUUCCUAUCAGCGAAGAGGGGGAGUGUGAUCGUGAUGGUAGGUCUGUGAGUGUGAUUAGGGAUGUGUCUGGCACCCUAUACCUUAUAGUGCACUACUUUUAACCAGAGCUCUAUGGGCCCAGGUCAAAAGUAGGGCACUAUAUAGUGAAUAGGGUGCCCUUUCAGACAGAGACUGUGGGUGCACAGUACAGGUGGGAGUGAUUGACAUGCCUUGCUGUUUUCCCUGUGGGCCCUGGUCAUAAGUAGUGUGCUAGGAAGGGAAUAGGGUGCCAUUUGGGAGACAGACACAGUUUCCUAAGCACCAGCUCCCUAUUUAUCCCACAAACACACCUUAGUUGGGUAACG